rnacentral:rRNA from 1 species
GAUGAACGCUGGCGGCGUGCUUAACACAUGCAAGUCGAACGGUGAAGCAGAGCUUUCUCUGUUGUUCAGUUGCGAACGGGUGAGUAACACGUGAGCAACCUGCCCCCGACUCUGGGAUAAGCGCUUUCAACGGCGUCUAAUACUUGAUAUGAGCUGCUUCCGCAUGGUCAGCACUUGGAAAGAUUUUUCUGUCUGUGAUAGGCUCACAGCCUAUCAGCUUGUUUGUGCGGUAAUGUCUCACCAAGGCGUCGACGGGUAGCCGGCCUGAGAGGGUGACCGGCGACACUGGGACUGAGAGACGGACCAGAAGCCUACGGGAGGCAGCAGUGGGGAAUAUUGCACAACGGGCGAAAGCCUGAUGCAGAAACGCCGCGUGAGGGAUGACGGCCUUCGGGGUGUAAACCUAUUUGAGCAGGGAAGAAGAGAAAGUGACGGUACCUGCAGAAAAAGCGACGGCUAACUACGUG